UACGUAGGGUGCAAGCGUUAAUCGGAAUUACUGGGCGUAAAGCGUGCGCAGGCGGUUGUGCAAGACAGAUGUGAAAUCCCCGGGCUCAACCUGGGAAUUGCAUUUGUGACUGCACGGCUAGAGUGUGUCAGAGGGGGGUAGAAUUCCACGUGUAGCAGUGAAAUGCGUAGAGAUGUGGAGGAAUACCGAUGGCGAAGGCAGCCCCCUGGGAUGACACUGACGCUCAGGCACGAAAGCGUGGGGAGCAAACAGG
rnacentral:rRNA from 1 species